rnacentral:ncRNA from 1 species
AGGUUUGGUCCUGACUUUACUAUCAGAUUUAGCUCAAUUUAUACAUGCAAGUAUCUGCAUCCCUGUUGAGAAUGCCCUCAAUCCCCCAACCGGGGACAAGGAGCAGGCAUCAGGCACACCAUCUUAAUGUUAGCCCAAGACGCCUUGCUACGCCACACCCCCAAGGGAACUCAGCAGUAAUAAAUAUUAAGCUAUAAGUGAAAACUUGACUUAGUUAGAGCUAAGAGGGUCGGUAAAAUUCGUGCCAGCCACCGCGGUUAUACGAAAGACCCUAGUUGAUAUUCACGGCGUAAAGGGUGGUUAAGGGAAAAUACAAAUAAAGCUAAAGAGUCCCUAAGCCGUCGUACGCACUCCGAGAACUCGAAACCCAAAAACGAAAGUAGCUUUAAAACACAUUCACCUUGACCCCACGAAAGCUAAGAAACAAACUGGGAUUAGAUACCCCACUAUGCUUAGCCAUAAACCAAGAUGUAAAUUUACACACACAUCCGCCCGGGUACUACGAGCACAGCUUAAAACCCAAAGGACUUGGCGGUGUCUCAGACCCACCUAGAGGAGCCUGUUCUAGAACCGAUAAACCCCGUUAAACCUCACCACUUCUUGUCUUUCCCGCCUAUAUACCGCCGUCGUCAGCUUACCCCGUGAAGGCCCAAAAGUAAGCAAAAUUGGUACACCCAAAAACGCCAGGUCAAGGUGUAGCGAAUGAAGUGGGAAGAAAUGGGCUACAUUUUCUACACAACAGAAUAUUACGGACGACACCUUGAAAUACAUGUCUGAAGGUGGAUUUAGUAGUAAAAAGGAAAUAGUGUGUCCUUUUGAAUUAGGCUCUGAGACGCGCACACACCGCCCGUCACUCUCCCCUUCUCCAUAUAACCUUAACCAAACAUUUCCUAAAAACAUAACUUACAGCACGGGGGGGCAAGUCGUAACAUGGUAAGUGUACCGGAAGGUGCACUUGGAAUAAU